rnacentral:rRNA from 1 species
AUACGGAGGGGGCUAGCGUUGUUCGGAAUUACUGGGCGUAAAGCGCGCGUAGGCGGCUUAUCAAGUUAGGCGUGAAAGGCCUGGGCUCAACCCGGGAACUGCGCUUAAUACUGGUAGACUUGAGUCCGGGAGAGGGUGGCGGAAUUCCCAGUGUAGAGGUGAAAUUCGUAGAUAUUAGGAAGAACACCAGUGGCGAAGGCGGCCACCUGGCCCGGUACUGACGCUGAGGCGCGAAAGCGUGGGGAGCAAACAGGAUUAGAAACCCCAGUAGUCC